GAUGAAGAACGCAGUGAAAUGCGAUGCGUAAUGUGAAUUGCAGAAUUCAGUGAAUCAUCGAGUCUUUGAACGCACAUUGCGCCCCCUGGUAUUCCGGGGGGCAUGCCUGUCCGAGCGUCAUUGCUGCCCUCAAGCACGGCUUGUGUGUUGGGCCUCCGUCCUCCUCCCGGGGGACGGGCCCGAAAGGCAGCGGCGGCACCGCGUCCGGUCCUCGAGCGUAUGGGGCUUCGUCACCCGCUCUUGUAGGCCCGGCCGGCGCUUGCCGACACAUCAAUCUUUUUUCCAGGUUGACCUCGGAUCAGGUAGGGAUACCCGCUGAACUUAAGCAUAUCAAUAAGCGGAGGA
rnacentral:misc_RNA from 1 species